ensembl:lncRNA
GUGGGGAGUCCUUAGGGGAUGACAAAGUCACGGGGACACUAUAGAGGGCAUGGGGAGUUCUUAGGGGAUGAUGGGGUCGUGGGGACUCCAUAUGGGACAAUGGAGAUGCCAUAGAGGACAUGGAGGUGGUGAGGACUACAUAGGUGUCCCGGGGACAUCACAGGGGACGGUGGGGUUGUGGGGAUUCCAUAGGGGACGAGAGGGUCACGGAGACACCAUAGAGGACAUGGAGGGUCCUUAAUGGGGACACCACGGGGGACAUCGGGACACCUUAGGGGAUGAUGGGGUCGUGAGGACACCAUGGGGGAUGUGGGGAGUCCUUAGGAGAUGACAAAGUCACGGGGACACUAUAGAGGGCAUGGGGAGUCCUUAGGGGAUGAUGGGGUCGUGGGGACUCCUUAUGGGACAAUGGAGAUGCCAUAGAGGACAUGGAGGUGGUGAGGACUACAUAGGUGUCCCGGGGACAUCACAGGGGACGGUGGGGUUGUGGGGAUUCCAUAGGGGACGAGAGGGUCACGGAGACACCAUAGAGGACAUGGAGGGUCCUUAAUGGGGACACCACGGGGGACAUCGGGACACCUUAGGGGAUGAUGGGGUCGUGAGGACACCAUGGGGGAUGUGGGGAGUCCUUAGGAGAUGACAAAGUCACGGGGACACUAUAGAGGGCAUGGGGAGUCCUUAGGGGAUGAUGGGGUCGUGGGGACUCCAUAUGGGACAAUGGAAAUGACGUGGAGGUGGUGAGGACUUCAUAGGUGUCCCGGGGGCAUCACAGGGGACGGUGGCACUGUGGGGGUGGUGGGGCUCAUGGGGACACAGUAGGGGACACCCCAGGGAACAACAAGGCCGUAAGGACUCCAUAGAGGGCAUAUGGGGCUGUGGAGGCCCCACAGAGGACAGGGAGCUGCUCUGUGCACAGCGUUGCACAGUGCUCAUUGCACAGCGCUGCACAGCACAUCGGUGCACAAUGUGCUCAGCUCACCAUGCACAGCACUGCACAGUGCUCAUUGCACAGCACUGCACAGCACAUCGAUGCACAGCGUUGCACAGUGCUCAUUGCACAGUGCUGCACAUCACAGUGGUGCACAGUGUGCUCAGCUCACAUUGCUCAGCAUUGCACAGUGCUCAUUGCACAGCACUGCACAGCACAUCGGUGCACAGCGUUGCACGCUGCUCAUUGCACAGUGCUGCACAGCACAUCGGUGCACAGUGUGCUCAGCUCACCAUGCACAGCACUGCACAGUGCUCAUUGCACAGCGCUGCACAGCACAUCGAUGCACAGCGUUGCACAGUGCUCAUUGCACAGCGCUGCACUCCACAGUGGUGCACAGUGUGCUCAGCUCACCAUGCACAGCACUGCACAGUGCUCAUUGCACAGAGCUGCACACCACAGUGGUGCACAGUGUGCUCAGCUCACGUUGCACAGCGUUGCACAGUGCUCAUUGCACAGCGCUGCACACCCCAUCGGUGCACAGUGUGCUCAGCUCACAGUGCACAGCGCUGCUCACUGCUCACUGCACAGCGCUGCACUCCACAGUGGUGCACAGUGCUGCACACCACAUCGGUGCACAGUGUUGCACAGUGCUCAUUGCACAGCGUUGCACACCCCAUUGGUGCACAGUGUGCUCAGCUCACAUUGCACAGCGCUGCACAUCACAGUGGUGCACAGUGUGCUCAGCUCACCAUGCACAGCACUGCACAGUGCUCAUUGCACAGCACUGCACACCACAGUGAUGCACAGUGCUGCUCAACUCACCAUGCACAGCGUUGCACAGUGCUCAUUGCACAGCGCUGCACAUCACAGUGGUGCACAGUGUGCUCAGCUCACGUUGCACAGCAUUGCACACUGCUCACUGCACAGUGCUGCACACCCCAUCAGUGCACAGUGUGCUCAGCCCACCAUGCACAGCAUUGCACAGUGCUCAUUGCACAGCGCUGCACACCACAGUGGCGCACAGUGUGCUCAGCUCACAGUGCACGGCACUGCACAGUGCUCAUUGCACAGUGCUGCACACCCCAUCGGUGCACAGUGUGCUCAGCUCAUGGUGCACAGCGUUGCACAGUGUGCUCAGCUCACAGUGCACAGCAUUGCACGCUGCUCAUUGCACAGCGCUGCACACCCCAUCGGUACACAGUGUGCUCAGCUCAUGGUGCACAGCGUUGCACAGUGCUCAUUGCACAGCGCUGCACUCCACAGUGGUGCACAGUGCUGCACACCACAUCGGUGCACAGUGUUGCACAGUGCUCAUUGCACAGCACUGCACACCACAUCGGUGCACAGUGUGCUCAGCUCACAUUGCACAGCGCUGCACACCACAUCGGUGCACAGUGUGCUCAGCUCAUGGUGCACAGCACUGCACAGUGCUCAUUGCACAGCACUGCACAGCACAUCGGUGCACAGCGUUGCACAGUGCUCAUUGCACAGCGCUGCACACCACAGUGGUGCACAGUGUGCUCAGCCCACCAUGCACAGCAUUACACAGUGCUCAUUGCACAGCACAUCGGUGCACAGCAUUGCACAGUGUUCAUUGCACAGCGCUGCACACCACAGUGGUGCACAGUGUGCUCAGCUCACCAUGCACAGCACUGCACAGUGCUCAUUGCACAGCGCUGCACACCCCAUCGGUGCACAGUGUGCUCAGCUCACCAUGCACAGCAUUGCACACUGCUCAUUGCACAGCACUGCACACCACAUCGGUGCACAGUGUGCUCAGCUCACAUUGCACAGCGCUGCACAUCACAGUGGUGCACAGUGUGCUCAGCUCACGUUGCACAGCGCUGCACACCACAUCGGUGCACAGUGUGCUCAGCUCAUGGUGCACAGCACUGCACAGUGCUCAUUGCACAGCACUGCACACCCCAUCGGUGCACAGUGUGCUCAGCUCACCAUGCACAGUGUUGCACAGUGCUGCACACCCCAUCGGUGCACAGUGUGCUCAGCUCACAGUGCACAGCAUUGCACGCUGCUCAUUGCACAGCGCUGCACACCCCAUCGGUGCACAGUGUGCUCAGCUCAUGGUGCACAACGUUGCACAGUGUGCUCAGCUCACGUUGCACAGCGCUGCUCACUGCUCACUGCACGGCUGUGCUCAUUGCACAGCGCCGUUUCCUGCUCUCCCUGCACAGCGCUCAUUGCCGUCGCUGCUUUCCGGUGCUUUCUCAGCCCCCGCAGCCGCUGCCGAGCCGUGCACACACGUCAGGGUUGCACGUCGUUGCACGCAGAACCGUUUGCACGCGUCCUGCGGCGCUGCAACGGCAUCUGCGCGUGCAACGCACGCGGCUGCGUGCACGGGGCGCG